rnacentral:lncRNA from 1 species
GGGGUUCGGCAAGCCCAGCGCCGACGUCUCCGGCAUCCACAUCCCGCACAUCAGCCUCAACCGCGCCGACCUCGUCGUCGACGUGCUCAUCAAGAACCCCAACCCCGUCCCCAUCCCGCUCGUCGACAUAGACUACCUCAUCGACAGCGACGGCCGCAAGCUCGUCUCCGGCCUCAUCCCCGACGCCGGCACCAUCCACGCCCACGGCCAGGAGACCGUCAAGAUCCCCAUCUCCCUCGUCUUCGACGACAUCAAGAGCACCUACAAGGACAUCCAGCCCGGCAGCAUCAUCCCCUACCUCGUCCGCGUCGUCCUCCUCGUCGACGUCCCCAUCAUCGGACGCAUCAAGAUCCCGCUCGAGAAGUCCGGCGAGAUCCCCGUCCCAUACAAGCCCGACGUCGACGUCGAGAAGAUCAAGUUCCACCACUUCUCCUUCGAGGAGACCACCGCCACGCUGCACCUCAAGCUCGAGAACAAGAACGACUUCGACCUGGGGCUCAACCUGCUCGAGUACGAGAUGUGGCUCGGCGACGACAGCAUCGCAUCCGCGGAGCUCACGCAGAACACCAAGAUCGACAAGCAGGGGAUCACCAGGAUGCAGAUUCCCUUCAGCUUCAGGCCCAAGGAGUUGGGAUCCGCGGUCUGGGACAUGAUCAGGGGCAGGGGGACAGGGUACACCAUCAAGGGCAAGAUUGAUGUCGACACUCCCUGGGGGAACAUGAAGCUGCCCAUAAGCAAAGAGGGUGGAACCACUCGCAUCAAGAAGGAGGAGGACGACGACGACGAUGACAACUGAGGUACCAUCUGCUUGCUUGCUUGCUUCUGGUGCUGCUGUUGAUUGAUUCAUCAUCAUCUUUGCUUCACCAGUCCAAUACUAGUCAGUACUCUUUGACUUGCUACAAAGCUCAUGGAAAAGAGAUAGCUUCAGCAUAAGCAUGGAUCUUUUUAAUUUAAUUCUAGGGAUGUCUUGACAAGCUAAGUUUUCUUGUACAUGAUGCAAUAUACGACGAACUUGCUAGGCCGUCAAUUUCCGUCAAUCCUGAAUUCUGGUCGAAGAUAGAUACGUACUAGAAAUUAUUGAGCAGGUUGACUUGUAGUCCCUCCAUGGACCUCUUAUGUACUGAAAAGUGCAGUCAUUUUUUCCUUCAUUAGUCAGAUUUUGCAAGUACUUGUCUAGCUUGUUAUGCUAUAACUUAUAGUAUGCCUACAGCAGAUAUUCCGUACAUGCUCAUAUACCAGUUCUUGUACUCUGAUCAAAAUGUUCAGACUAUGCAGUUUGAUUCAAAUCAAUAUCUGCUUUUGAUGAACUUAGAAUGUCAUUCUAUUCGGAGACCAAAUCAUAACGCAACUCAAUGUAAUGCAGGCAGUUGCUAUGUCUAUCAAUAAGUAGGGAUAUUGUGUUGCUGGUGUAGAUUUGCACACAUCAUUGCUGUAGUUUCCUGUACAGAGCCACACUCUUUGCAAAAUCGUUCAUACUUGUGCCCUGGAACCUUGCUAACAUCUGUAUUGACAAGGGCAGUCAGUUCUGCCCUCAUUAGUCAGAGAUUUUGCAAGUACUUGUCUGAACCUGUUGACUGUUGUACUAGAACUUAUAGUAUGUCUACGGCAGAUACUCAGUACAUGUUCACAUACCAGUUUUUAUACUCUGAUCAAAAUGUUUAGACUAUGCAGUUUGGUUCAAGUAAAGAUCUGCUUUUGAUUAACUUAGAAUGUCAUUCUAUUCCAGAGUCCAAAUUGGAACGCAAAUCAAUGUAAAAAAGGCAGUUGCUAUGUCUAUCAAUUUAAGUAUGGAUAUUGGGUUGCUUGCUGGUGUAGAUUUGUACAUAUCGUUACUGUCGUUUCCUGUACAGAGCCGCACUCUUUGCAAAAUCGUUCAUACUUGUGCCCUGGAACCUUGCUAACCUCUGUUUCUGAACCACCCUAGUCCCUUGUUGCAGGACUCGAGUGCUUCUGUUACCAAACACAGAUGAGCAGAUGACACUGAAGCAGGGAGGAUGCUACAACGGUGGUUGUUGUCGUCCACGGGAUGCCCUUAACGCUCGUUGAGUUCUGAAUU